CCUCUCUUUCCCCUCAUUCAUUCCAUUGCACUGAACAUUUCCUGCAGGCUAGAGUCCAGGACAGGGAGGAAAUCUGCUCCCUACUCUAAAAGAGCUGCAGUCAAGAUUUAGUAGAAUAUGCUCUAAUGAGGGCAGCACAGGGCACACUAGGAGCCCAGAGCAAGGGAGGACUAUUAUAGAAUUGCCUAGAGAGAUGGGUAGCCAGAGAGGGCUCUGCAAGAAAGCUCCAUUGGAUCUGGAUCUUAAAGAGUAAGCAGGAGGCUGAGCGCGGUGGCUCAUGCCUGUAAUCCCAGCACUUUGAGAGGCCGAGGUGGGCGGAUCGCAAGGUCAAGAGAUAGAGACCAUCCUGGCCAACAUGGUGAAACCCUGUCACUACUAAAAAUACAAAAAAAAAAAAAAAAUUAGCUGGGUGUGGUGGUGCGCACCUGUAGUCCCAGCUACUCGGGAGGCUGAGGCAGGGGAAUCGCUUGAACCCGGGAGUUGGAAGUUGCAGUGAGCCGAGAUGGAGCCACUGCACUCCAGGCUGGGCGACAGAGCGAGACUCUGUCUCAAAAAAAAAAAGAAAGAAAAAAAAGAGUAAGCAGGAGUUCACAAGGUGUGGGAGACUGCUGUGUGUUCACCAAGCCUCAUCUUUCACACCUGGGCACAUGUUGUAGCCCGUUUGCAAAGAUAGCCGUAAUAUUCUCCUGUCCCUGGACAUGCCCUUUGCAAGUUGAUUUUGCCAUUCCUCCCAUUGAGAAGGCACUUUGUCCCCUACUAGUCUGGGUAAGCCUUGAGAGUUGCUUUGACCAAUAGAAUUUGCUAGAAGUGAUAUUGAGCCUAGGCCUGAAGAGGCCUUGUAGCUUCCACUCCUGCCCUAAGACUGUUGCAUGAAGAUACCCAGACUAGUGUCUUUGCAGAUGAACAAUCAUGGUGAAAGAGAAGCCCAGCCGGCAGCCAGCACCAAUCGCCAGCUGUGUGAGUGUGGCCAUCCUGGAUCAUCCAGCCCCAGCUGCCCCACCAGCUGACAGCAGCCACACAAGUGACCCCAGUUGAGACCAAUAAAAGAUCUGCCCAUCUGAUACAGCCCAAACUGCUGAACCCCAGAAUCAUGAACAAAUAAGUAAAAGAAAAGAACACUGGUUGUAUUUUAUGGUUGCACUAUGUCCAGCAGAAAAAGGCAUUCCUCAGUCUCCUUGCAGCAAGCAUCAUCCCUCACCUGGACUCUGCAAAAGCCUACUCGUGGGUCUGUCUGCAUCCCUGUCUGCCUCCUCCAGGGCCAUUCUCCACCCAGUGGCCGGAUCGAUUUUUCAAAGAGGUUGAUCCCAGCUCAACCACUUGCCAUCUGUGUGACCUGUGGGCAAGUGACCUUACCUUUCGGAGCCUCAGUUGCCCCAUCUAUAAAAUGGGAAUGAUGCCAGUGCCUGCCUCAUAAGGAUGAGCCCCGCUCCUGAAGCUCAGGGAGCCCUCUCUGCAAGGCUGUUUUAGUGCAACCUCCGGAAACAUGCCCAUGCAUGUGAAAACUGGCAUGCACAUUCUGGUGCUUUUAAAAACAUCUCGAAGCCUAUCCACAGAUCCUGGACCUCAAGACUGGUUCAGUGCUAGCCCCCCAUUUUACAGAUGUGGAGAAUGAGGCUUAGCGGGUCCCAGGCAAGUCAGUGGCAAAACUCACCAUCUCCUGGGAGCCAUCAGGUUCCUCUGGAUCUGCCCCCACCAAAUUUAUCCCCUGCUCUCUGCUUGAGGGUGCACAUGGGGUGAGGGUGGGGGUCUUUUGUUUUACUCCCUCCCCCUCCUGAGGAGUCAGUAACCAACAGUGUCUGUGCCUGGAAUAUUAAUGUCUCAGCAGCUUUUGUUUGGGGGGUUGGGGGUGGUGGGGGCGGGACUUUCUGGUCAGAGAGGGGCUGAGCUUUGGGGACUGAGGCACUGGCCCUUUAAACUGUGUUGACAGCCAGGAGUCGUCAUGGGGAUGGUGCUUGGAAAAGGGGACAGGGAGGGUUUGGGAAAGAGUGGCGGAGCAGGUAAUGCGUAAGACCCAGGAAUCCAGCCCCCAACUACCUCCUCUCCCAGGACCCAGGAGUCUAGGCUCCCAGCCCCUCCUCCAUCAGGUUCCAGGAGUCUGGAACCCCGGCUUCUUUCCGCCUUAGACCCAGGAAUUCAGCCCCCAACCACCUCCUCUCUCAGGUUCCCGAAAUCCAGACCCCUAGCCCCCUUCUCGAUCAGGACCCAGGAGUCUGGGCUGUCAGCAGCCCCUUCCUUCAAACCUAGGAGUCAGAGCCCCCAGCCCUCUCCUAGCUUAGACACAGG
rnacentral:lncRNA from 1 species